AAAAUCCGUCGACUUUAGAAAUCGUGAGCCCUCUAUCCCCA
rnacentral:tRNA from 1 species